UACGAAGGGGGCUAGCGUUGCUCGGAAUCACUGGGCGUAAAGCGCACGUAGGCGGCUUUCUAAGUCAGGGGGUGAAAUCCUGGAGCUCAACUCCAGAACUGCCUUUGAUACUGGAGAGCUUGAGUCCGGGAGAGGUGAGUGGAACUCCGAGUGUAGAGGUGAAAUUCGUAGAUAUUCGGAAGAACACCAGUGGCGAAGGCGGCCGCUGGGCCGUCCCUGACGCUGAGGCGCGAACGUGGGAGCGAAAGAGGAUGAGAUCCCCUGGUAGUUCAGAGACCAUACCUGCCGCUCCCAGG
rnacentral:rRNA from 1 species